rnacentral:lncRNA from 1 species
GUGAGCGAAUCCUCUUCUGCACAGUCCGACAGGGUCGGGCUGGGCUCCGCUGCCUGCCUUGUGGAACCCGCUGGAAGACAGGUGCACGGAGUUAGGGAGUGACUGCCGCCGGGGCUCAGGGCAGCGCAGUAUUUAUUUGGUUUUUCUGUCAGCCCAGCGCUCGUUCUCUGCUGCCUACAUCACCUGCUUCGGCUGAGGUGCUGCGGCUCGUUUGGCACCCUCGCGUGCUGCCAGGUUAAACAUCCUCUGUUUUAGAAGGGAUGAAGUAAACGUUCCCUUCAUUCCAUCUGGACUUGGACCUGUUUAAUUUCUCAGUGUGGUGUGAUGCUCCCCCACCAUGUUUCCACACCUGGAUUGUCAACUAGGGCAAAUUGUCACCAAUGGCAGUAAAACUUGUUUUCUGGGGGUCCAGGUUAACCCACCCUGGUCGUCUAGAUGGAAACAGAAAUGCUACUUCUCUGGAAGCUACCUCUGACACCCUAUCUAGUUUGGAACUAGGUCAAGUCCUCCUGUAAAGGGUGUCAUAAGUACCCAAAUAUUAAUUAUUACAGUGUUCUUCUGUGUUGAAUAUGGAUGUUAUUAUCAUUAUAACAUGAAAAUAUUUGUGAACUGAUGACAUAUAAAAUCAGUUCCCACUCACAUAUCUUGCCUUAACACUAACAUCUAUCUCCGUUCAUCCUGUCGGUAUCUUGUAUCCGUUAAUCUCUACUUUGAUAGUUGGAUGUUAAAACAAUCCAGUGCAAAUUGGUUCCAAAGUAACAUGACACAUAUCACCAGCUAUGCAGAAUUUCAUGAAUUUGAUGAUAGUGAUGUUGAACUGCUAGAACCACGUGCAAAGGUAAUGUCUAAUAAAGAUCCAGCAGAUUUAUAUGAGUUUGUGAUUGAAGAAGAUAUAAUGGACAAUGAUCUCCAAUAGACAAUAAUUUGGAAGUCACAAAACUAGAAAAAGACUCUAAGAAAAUUGAUUUUUUUUUAAUUUUUACAAAAACAUGCUGUUUGUUAUCAUCCUGUAAAAACUGAGUGAAAAUAAAGGUUUUGUAUUAUGCUGUUAUGCAGUAUUUUGGGGAAAUUGUUAUCUGUCUCUCUAAUCAGCACUUGAUUCAUAUUUUUAUUUUAAGAAUGAUUUUAUUAAAUAUUCAAUGAAAUAAACAUUUUCAUUUUUCUUUACCAUUUUUCAAGAUAGUCAUUCAGUUUAUGUUGUGUAAGAAAUCACAUGAAACUUGAUGGCUUAAAACAAGGGAAUUGCUUAUUAUUUCUUAUGGUUUCUGUUAAGA